rnacentral:rRNA from 1 species
UACGGAGGAUCCAAGCGUUAUCCGGAAUCAUUGGGUUUAAAGGGUCCGGUAGGUGGUUUGGUAAGUCAGUGGUGAAAAGCCCAUCGCUCAACAGGUGGAACGGCCAUUGAUACUGCCAGACUUGAAUUAUUAGGAAGUAACUAGAAUAUGUAGUGUAGCGGUGAAAUGCUUAGAGAUUACAAUGGAAUACCAAUUGCGAAGGCAGGUUACUACUAAUGGAAUUGACGCUGAUGGACGAAAGCGUGGGUAGCGAACAGG